CUACGGGGCGCUGCAGUGAGGAAUAUUGCACAAUGGGGGGAACCCUGAUGCAGCAACGCCGCGUGGAGGAUGACGCAUUUCGGUGUGUAAACUCCUUUUAUAUGUCAAGAAAAUGACGGUAGCAUAUGAAUAAGCACCGGCUAACUCCGUGCACAGCAGCCGCGGUAAUACGGAGGGUGCAAGCGUUACUCGGAAUCACUGGGCGUAAAGGACGCGUAGGCGGGUUGGAAAGUCAGGUGUGAAAUCCUACAGCUUAACUGUAGAACUGCACUUGAAACGUCUAAUCUAGAGUAUGGGAGGGGGAGAUGGAAUUAGUGGUGUAGGGGUAAAAUCCGUAGAUAUCACUAGGAAUACCUAAAGCGAAGGCGAUCUCCUGGAACAUUACUGACGCUAAGGCGUGAAAGCGUGGGGAGCAAACAGGAUUAGAUACCCUUGUAGUC
rnacentral:rRNA from 1 species